CCUCCUCUUCUUGGCAGGGAUCGGGCAUGCAGUUCUGGUCCCCAGCGUAUGGAUGCAGAGGGAAAGGGCUCUGGCCCCCUCGGUGUCAGGUCUUCCGUGCGGACAGUUUCCAGUCAGCGGUUCUAUUUUCAGGUGCUGGGACACUG